UACGUAGGCAGCGAGCGUUGUUCGGAGUUACUGGGCGUAAAGGGUGUGUAGGCGGUUCUUUAAGUUUGGUGUGAAAUCUCCCGGCUCAACCGGGAGGGUGCGCCGAAUACUGAGGGACUAGAGUGCGGGAGAGGAAAGUGGAAUUCCUGGUGUAGCGGUGAAAUGCGUAGAUAUCAGGAGGAACACCGGUGGUGUAGACGGCUUCUGGACCGUAACUGACGCUGAGACACGAAAGCGUGGGUAGCAAACAGG
rnacentral:rRNA from 1 species